AUUGAACGCUGGCGGCAUGCCUAACACAUGCAAGUCGAACGGUAACAGGCCCUUCGGGGUGCUGACGAGUGGCGGAUGGGUGAGUAAUACUUAGGAAUCUACCCUGUAGUGGGGGACAACCCGGGGAAACUCGGGCUAAUACCGCAUACGCUCUACGGAGGAAAGCGGGGGACCGCAAGGCCUCGCGCUAUUGGAUGAGCCUAAGCCCGAUUAGCUAGUUGGUGGGGUAAUAGCCUACCAAGGCAAUGAUCGGUAGCUGGUCUGAGAGGACGACCAGCCACACUGGGACUGAGACACGGCCCAGACUCCUACGGGAGGCAGCAGUGGGGAAUAUUGGACAAUGGGCGAAAGCCUGAUCCAGCGAUGCCGCGUGUGUGAAGAAGGCCUGCGGGUUGUAAAGCACUUUCAGUAGGGAAGAAAUG
rnacentral:rRNA from 1 species